CGGUCUCUCCUCAUAUUGCGGUAUGCUCAACAUCAUUGGAUAA
rnacentral:misc_RNA from 1 species